CCAAUAGCGUAUAUUAAAGUUGUUGUGGUUAAAAAGCCCGUAGUUGAACCUUGGGCCUGGCUGGCCGGUCCGCCUCACCGCGUGUACUGGUCCGGCCGGGCCUUUCCCUCUGUGGAACCCCAUGCCCUUCCCUGGGUGGGGUGGGGAAACAGGACUUUUACUGUGAAAAAAUUAGAGUGCUCCAGGCAGGCCUAUGCUCGAAUACAUUAGCAUGGAAUAAUAGAAUUGGACGUGUGGUUCUAUUUUGUUGGUUUCUAGGACCGCCGUAAUGAUUAAUAGGGACAGUCGGGGGCAUCAGUAUUCAAUUGUCAGAGGUGAAAUUCUUGGAUUUAUUGAAGACUAACUACUGCGAAAGCAUUUGCCAAGGAUGUUUUCAUUAAUCAGGAACGAAAGUUAGGGGAUCGAAGACGAUCAGAUACCGUCGUAGUCUUAACCAUAAACUAUGCCGACUAGGGAUCGGACGAUGUUAUUUUUUGACUCGUUCGGCACCUUACG
rnacentral:rRNA from 1 species